rnacentral:rRNA from 1 species
UUAGGCCUUGACAUACUAGAAUUUCCAGAGAUGGAUUGGUGCCUUCGGGAACUUAGAUACAGGUGCUGCAUGGCUGUCGUCAGCUCGUGUCGUGAGAUGUUGGUUAAGUCCGCAACGAGCGCAACCCUUUUCCUUAUUUGCCAGCGGGUAAUGCCGGGAACUUUAAGGAUACUGCCAGUGACAAACUGGAGGAAGGCGGGGACGACGUCAAGUCAUCAUGGCCCUUACGGCCAGGGCUACACACGUGCUACAAUGGUCGGUACAAAGGGUUGCUACCUCGCGAGAGGAUGCUAAUCUCAAAAAGCCGAUCGUAGUCCGGAUCGCAGUCUGCAACUCGACUGCGUGAAGUCGGAAUCGCUAGUAAUCGCGGAUCAGAAUGCCGCGGUGAAUACGUUCCCGGGCCUUGUACACACCGCCCGUCAUACCAUGGGAGUUUGUUGCACCAGAAGUAGGUAGUCUAACCGCAAGGAGGACGCUUACCACGGUGUGGCCGAUGACUGGGGUGAAGUCGUAACAAGGUAAGCGUAGAUGA